rnacentral:lncRNA from 10 species
CAGGAGUACAAGCUAUAACACAGGUGGGCUGGGGCAUGCCCAGCCCAGGAGCAGACUGAGCCAGUACAGAAGGUGGACCUAGUGGGCGAGGUGCCUCCUGCAGCAGGCUCACGUCGAGCAAGGCCCACAUGGGGGUGUUGCCAGCUGGAGGUGUCCAGCUGGCAAAAGUGGCCAAGAAAAAUUCUGCAUGACCACAAACAACAAUUCAACCACUCUACCACCCAUUUUCACCCUUUUGGUGCCCACUUUCAUUCCUAUGUUUUAGUUCUUUCAUCAUUCUCAUUUUCACCCUCCAAGAGAUAUAUUAUUUUCUUUAGACAAAUAUGAACAUCUGUGGAUAUAUGUAAGUUCUAAGACAUAUGUUCUAGAUAUUAGGUAUGUAAUGAGUGAUGGUAUACCUCAGAGACGGAAGAAAGCUUCAACCAGUCAGUGCAUCAGAUUCACAUGAAAACAUUCCUGGCCGGUGGCUCAUGCCUGUAAUCCCUGCACUCUGGGAGGCUGAAGCUGGAGGAUCACUUGAGGCCAGAAUUUCAAGACCAGCCUGGUCAACAUUGUGAGAUCACAUCUCUACAAAACAAAUAAACAAAUGAAAAACAACAAACAUAUUUCAAAAAACGUUGCAAGGAUUAAAUGGGUUAAAACCAAUAAAAUGUUUAGACGGUGCUCUAGAACCUAAGGAACACUUAAUUAGAUAGCAUUAUUAUCAUUAGGAAUAAGAUUUCAUAAGUCAUAUGUUUAUAUGUUUAUUAUUAGACAUUAUUAAAACAAAC